rnacentral:rRNA from 1 species
CGCGUAGGCGGCCUGCUAAGUCGAACGUGAAAUCCCCGGGCUCAACCCGGGAACUGCGUCCGAUACUGGCAGGCUUGAAUCCGGGAGAGGGAUGUGGAAUUCCAGGUGUAGCGGUGAAAUGCGUAGAUAUCUGGAGGAACACCGGUGGCGAAGGCGGCAUCCUGGACCGGUAUUGACGCUGAGGCGCGAAAGCCAGGGGAGCAAACGGGAUUAGAUACCCCGGUAGUCCUGGCCCUAAACGAUGAAUGCUUGGUGUGGCGGGUAUCGAUCCCUGCCGUGCCGAAGCUAACGCAUUAAGCAUUCCGCCUGGGGAGUACGGUCGCAAGGCUGAA